GACGAACGCUGGCGGCGUGCUUAACACAUGCAAGUCGAGCGGAAAGGCCCUUCGGGGUACUCGAGCGGCGAACGGGUGAGUAACACGUGAGUAACCUGCCCCAGACUUUGGGAUAACCCUCGGAAACGGGGGCUAAUACCGGAUACGACACAGCUUCGCAUGGGGUCUGUGUGGAAAGUUUUUCGGUUUGGGAUGGGCUCGCGGCCUAUCAGCUUGUUGGUGGGGUGAUGGCCUACCAAGGCGACGACGGGUAGCCGGCCUGAGAGGGCGACCGGCCACACUGGGACUGAGACACGGCCCAGACUCCUACGGGAGGCAGCAGUCGGGAAUAUUGCACAAUGGGCGGAAGCCUGAUGCAGCGACGCCGCGUGAGGGAUGACGGCCUUCGGGUUGUAAACCUCUUUCAGCAGGGACGAAGCGUAAGUGACGGUACCUGCAGAAGAAGCGCCGGCCAACUACGUG
rnacentral:rRNA from 1 species